CUUGGGCGGGUGCAUUAGGCACGCAAGUCGAGCGAGAACCCCGCAAGGGGGGACAGCGGCAAACGGGGUAGUAACGGGUAGGCGACGUACCCUCGGGUCGGGGAUAGCCACGGGAAACUGUGGGUAAUACCCGAUAACCUCUGGAGGCGUGAUAGCUUUCAGAGCAAAGGUGUGAUUCCACCGGAGGAGCGGCCUGCUUCGUAUUAGCUUGUUGGUGAGGUAACGGCUCACCAAGGCGACGAUGCGUAGGGGGUGUGAGAGCAUGACCCCCACCACUGGGACUGAGAUACUGCCCAGACACCUACGGGUGGCUGCAGUCGAGAAUCUUCGGCAAUGGGCGCAAGCCUGACCGAGCGACGCCGCGUGUGGGAUGAAGGCCCUUGGGUUGUAAACCACUGUCAGAGGGGAUGAAAUGCAUGAGGGCCAUCUCUCAUGUUUGACAUAGCCUCAGAGGAAGCACGGGCUAAGUUCGUGCCAGCAGCCGCGGUAAUACGAACUGUGCGAACGUUAUUCGGAAUCACUGGGCUUACAGGGUGCGUAGGCGGCUUGUUAAGUAGGGUGUGAAAGCCCCCGGCUCAACCGGGGAAUUGCGCCCUAAACUGGCGAGCUGGAGUGAGAUAGGGGUGUGUGGAACUUCCGGUGGAGCGGUGAAAUGUGUUGAUAUCGGAAGGAACGCCGGUGGCGAAAGCGACACACUGGAUCUUGUCUGACGCUGAGGCACGAAAGCCAGGGGAGCGAACGGGAUUAGAUACCCCGGUAGUCCUGGCUGUAAACGAUGAGCACUAGCUAGGAGGGCGUAUGCCCUUCCUAACGGAGCGAAAGUGUUUA
rnacentral:rRNA from 1 species